AAUUGCCCUAAAACUAAAAAACUCCCUCGCUCUCGAACACUCACCUCCCCGGCUCAUUUCACUGCUCCAUGAAAAUCACUCACCCACCCACCCACUCACUGAACACUCGCUCACUUACUCACGGCUCGCUCGCCCAGUCAGUUUUUCGAACUCUCAAUCCGCUCUGCAAUCGGGUCUACACACUCAACUGGAUCUUCGCUCUCAACGGGGUUGAAAUUUGGUCUUGAAUCGAGUCUUCAAUUCGGGUUUUCAAUUGUGUUUUCAAUCAAGACUUGAAUUAGGGUUUUUAAUUAGGUCUUCUACAUGUAUGCUUCUCUCUGUUCAUUAGGUCUUCAAUGUGUUUUUUUAAUGUUUUUCUAUGUUUUUUAUUUGCAUCUUCUGAUUUGUAAGAUAUUCUCUGGGUUAUCUCUUUUUGUUUAUAUGUUCUGAUUUUUAUGUUUUGUUUUUUUUAAUGUUUUCUCUUUAUGUUUGUAUAUUUAUACUUUUGUCCUGCUGAGUUUUUGGUACUAGAAAAGUCUGAGUUAAAAAAUUUUGGCCCCUGUCUCGUCUAGAUUUCAGAACUGUUUGAUCUUUGAAGUAGUUUUAAAUGGUUUGAUUUAUACAUAUGAAUAUUGAUUUAGUUUUUGUUGGUGAAAAGAGAGAAUAUUGCAAUGUAUUAGCCAAAGUCUGUGUGCAUUCCCAAAUCUAUUUAUGUCUUUUAUUUUUGAUAGUCCUUGCAAGCUACUUAAUGAAUAUUAAGUGCAGAGCUGUUGACUUGAGUGAUAGGAUCUUAUUAAUCUUUGGCCCUAUUCUGUUAAAGCAGCUACAUUAUCAAUUACGGGGCUUCUUAUCCAAGUGAUAUAUGCGGGUUUAAAUGCUCAUAGAAUUUUUUAUAAGCUAAUGAAAACAAGCAUUUUGAAUUUAAAAUGGUUAGGAUGCCGAGAUUUGGUUUUUGUUGCUUGAAUCGAUCCCAGAAUUAAAGAAAUGUGCAUACAUAUGAUUCAAUAUAUGUAUUAUAAUAGGCACAAAAAUGUUUCUAUAAAGCUUUGGCCUAUGAUGCUUAGGGUAGAUGUGUAUUAAAGAAAUCCAAAUAUGUGAAGGCUGACUUCUACUGAUGUCUUGAUGACUUAUUUUAUUUUCCAUGAUUAGGAUAUAUUAUUUAGCUUUGUAUAUGAUGUGCACAUGAUUUGACCCCUUGAGACAGAGCUAACAAUUUUUGGUACCUUAAGGCCAGUUUUUGCCUGACUUAUGUUUGCUUAUGAAAAUGGUUGUUUUCAGGUUUUAGUUCCAAAAUAUCAAUUAGCCGCUGAAAAUAUUGGUUCACACUCAUCAUAGUCUCCUAAAUGUUGUUUGCAGCUAUCUCUAAUAAAGUCCCCUCUAGCAAAAUGAACCUUGUCAGUAAUAAUUAUGAGUUAUUCAGGGUAUGGUCGAAACAACAAAUUUCAUUAUUUACAUAAACAAACCCUUGCUUCAUUUAUUAAAUUUACUCUUUCUAGUCUGUAAUGAAUUUUGUGAGAAGGCUGAGGGCUAUCGUCGGAGAUGCAUUGCUGAGGUCAGCAAUAUUAAAUCUGCAGAAUGAGGUAUUUAACUGAAGCUUUUGAACAAUGUGGUGAAGACUUUGUUGUACGUUCUUUUGAUUAUGGGGCAGGCUUUGUCCAUCUUGAUGUCGUUUGUCCGCAAAAAGGAUGAGCAGCUGCCAUGGUGGGGCAUGCUUUUGGCAUUUUUCCUAGCUUGGAUUGUCACCCUUCCAGCCGGAGUUAUUCAAGCAAUUACUAACCAGAAGUUCUGACAACUUUGCAGCAACCUGGAUAUGACAUGAUUGCGCGAUUCAUAAUUGGGAGUUUUUCGCAGUAGAAAAGGAUGAGCAGCACAAGCUCCCAACUGUUUAUCAGAAGUUUUCUUAUGGUAACUAUACUGGUGCAGGAAUGCAGUACCCCAUGGCAUGAACAUACCUAGCCACUCUGGACCUUCCUUCAGCUUAUUCUUCACCUGUCUUUGUCCAAGCACCGGUUUAGAAAGGUUUUGAUGGACAUGAGCCCAGCAAAGAGGUCUAGCUUGUCUCCUUUCAUACAGUGUCCAAAGGCUAUUGGGGAGAAUUUGCCAAAGAGAUCUCGACACGGAAGCAAGCCCGAAUUUUAAUUUUAAAGUUUAAUUAGAGUUUUAUAUUGUACCUACUUAAUUUCAAAGUUUCAUUAGAGUUUUAUAUUGUACCUAGCUAAUUUCAAUUUCAUGCACUAGUACUCAUGAUCUUGAUGUGGUUGAUAAGGCUUGGACCUUUGUUUUUGUUCUUGGAUUGUGUUGAAUGUUUGGUAAAUUUUGAAAUGGGGAAGUGUUACUUUCAAAUGUUA